rnacentral:lncRNA from 1 species
ACACUCUUAGCACCCUACAAGCAGGUAUGUGCUUACCAGCAAACUAAAGCAAAUGGAAAUUAAGAAGCAUGAUCACCACCAGCAAGGUGCUGCUGAACUAUAAGGGUCCUCACUGCACAGCUGCUGUUUUACUCCAGAAGUGGCGAGCUGGGGAUGAGGAAGCACAGGAGACGGCCUUAGGAAAAUCCUCACUCUUCCAGAGAGCUCCAUUUUCACUUCUGCUGGUCCUCACCAUGGGAGAGUGUGGGAUCAAGAGACCAAGGAAAGGCCAACUGAUGUGUUUCAUUCUUCUUUUUCCCCUUCCACUUUAACAUAUUAGAGGAGUGUUAUUUGGAAUUUCGACAUUUACAAAGAGUUUAAGGUUAAAUUAUUCUGGUGGAAAAGAAAAAUGCCAAUCCUUUCCCCUAAAGACAGCAAAACUGGUUAGCAUGAAAAUGCUCCCAGGAUGUUCAAGUCUUUUGGAGUUUCUCCUUACCAAUAACUCUUCAUGAACACCCCUCUGUGAAGUAGCUUGAAACAAUGCAACUGGUGUCUGAGUGUUUUUCAAAUAGGCAUAUGGACCUGGAGAACUGGAGCUAGAAGAUGCCAUCUAUGAACCAGUGCUUUAGAGAUUAGGCUUGGUGGAGAAGACAGCUGGGUUGCCCAAGCCUCCCUCAUUGCCUGCAACAAGGCAAACACGGGCACCUUUGGGACUUAGACGUGAUCUGCCAGCACAAGGGUGUCCAUUGUUCACUUGGCCAAAUCGGGGGCUUUGGAAUGGUUAAGAAAAAAAGCAAAGCGGCCCUCCUUCUCCAUCACACAGCAGUAUACAUCAACUUUUUAAAAAUUACAUCCCCCCUGCCUUGGAGUCUUUUUAGCCUUUUUUCUAAUUGCUCCCCCUUGACGUUGUAAUGCCACAGAUACAUUGUUUAUAUAUCUGUUUAUGUACUGUGACCCUUUGAAAGGCCACAAGCCAUUGUCAUGACUCAGAUUUUUUUGCUCCUCAAACACUGAUAUUUGUACCCCUUCCCUACUCAGAGGUGGGCGGGGGGGGCGAUAUCCCUUCAUGAAGAAUGCAUGUUGCAGGCCCACCCAGAGGGUUGACAGGACACUUCCUGACCACCACCCAGGGUUUCUUUUCAUCUUUUCUCUCACUCCCCUUCAGAUUUGGUAGGAGCCUGUACCUUGUAGAGCACAGAGCUAGAAGGCCCAGGUUGAGCAGGUGGCUACUCUAUGGAAUGUCAUGGCAACAUGAGAGGAUCAGGGCAGAGAGACUGACAAUAGUCUCAGAGAAAUGGUGUGUUUCAUGCAGUGAAAUAUUAGGUUUCACAGUAGUAAAUGUUGAGCUAAUAAUUAUUAUAAGACAUGGAUUUAAUGGGUAAAAUUUUCAGCAAUAAACGUAUCCAAAGAAUAGCAUUACAAGAGUUCAGAAAUUAGAUAUUCCAUUGCCCCUUUUACCAGCAAAAGGGUAUGAUAUUGGAUUUUUCCUUCAAUAUAAUUCGCUUUUCCAAUAUUAUAAUUAACUUGACAAAUAGACCUCAACUUCUACACCUUCCCUUUUGCCUGAACACUUUAUAGGCACAACAUAAUGAUUCUAGUUAUUAGCUCACUUUAGGCUAAAAAUAAGAGGACUAACAAUACAUUAACAUUUCCAUUAUCAAUCAGAAAAUGGUAGGUCAGCUCCUUGAAUGAUAUGUUGCUCAGCACAUUAAAUCCUUGAACUCAGCAAAAAUAUAUAAAUACUUUUGCUCCUGAAGUUAUGGUUUAAGAGAGUCAUGUGGCAACAUAAAUUGGAAAUGAGGAGGACAAUCAAUUUGGAUUGGUCUAAAUGGAAGAAUAAUGGAUUGCUAAUUUUUUUUCCUUUAUUUAGUAUAGAAACUGAGCGCCCAUGCUAUCAGUUUGGUAUCAAAGAGGAAGCAAUGAGUAACCAAUCAAAAACAAACUUCUACUUGCUUUUGUGCUGGUACCAUCUGCUAUACACAUAUCACCUUGUGACAGGGCCAAUGGACAUCUACCAACUGAUACCAUUAAAACAGAGUGAAGAACAAAGUAUUCUCCUUUCACUUGGGCACCAGAGGACCUGGUUUUUCUGCUUAAAGCUAGUGCCAAUGCUGUGUUUCAGUCACUGCAGAUUCCACAGAUUUAUCAUCAAUCUCCUCCCACACAUUCAUUACUGCCAACAUUUUGAAACUUCAAUAGUGCCUCCAUAACACUAGCUUAAUAGUGUCUGUAACUGGAGAAAGAAUCUAAGAACUGCAGGCUAGAUCCAAUCAUGCCCAUUUGUCUCCGGCUGUUUUCCCUACAAGGGUAGUGCUGAGUAGUUGCAACAAAAACUGGCUUUUUGAAUUGCCAAAAUGAAAAAUAAUUACUGUCUGGCUCUUUACAGAAAAAGUUUUCUGACUUUGGUAACAUGGAUUUAAAAAAUAAAUAAAUAAAAAGAAAAAACAAAAAAAUCCUUUUCUUCUACAGUUUUCAGAGUUUUCUUAGAUAGAAUUGAGAGUUUAAUAUUAUUUUUAGAGCAAAAUAAUAUAUACUUGUUUUUCUACUCCUAGGAAUGAAAUUUGGAAAUAUAAACUCAGAAACGUAGUAAAAGCAUUAUUGAUAAUGACAUGGAUUUUAUAUUGGCCAUCUGCUAUUUUUAUUAAAAAGUAAUAUUAAAUUUUCUCUUCAAACAAUAACUAUGGAUGUUCAUUAUAGAAGAGGCUGGCAUUUCUCCAAAGCACAGUUUUCUUAAGUAAGGAAGCAUAUUCAAGAAAUGGACGUAGGCCGGGCGCGGUGGCUUACACCUGUAAUCCCAGCAAUUUGGGAGGCUGAGGUGGGUGGAUCACGAGGUCAGGAGAUCGAGACCAUCCUGGCUAACACGGUGAAACCCCAUCUCUAAUAAAAAUACAAAAAAAAUUAGCCGGGCAUGGUGGCAGGCGCCUGUAGUCCCAGCUACUCGGGAGGCUGAGGCAGGAGAAUGGCGUGAACCCGGGAGGCAGAGCUUGCAGUGAGCCGAGAUCGCGCCACUGCACUCCAGCCUGGGCGACAAGAGCGAGACUCUGUCAAAAAAAAGAAAAGGAAAGAAAAGAAAGAAAUGGAUGUAAAAUAGAAUUUUCAUACAUGAAUAUAAAUUAAACACUAAUAUCUCAAAUGACCUCUUAAAGAAUAGUAAGGCAAAAAAUGUAAUUAGUGCUAUAUGGUGCCUGAAUGUGAUAUUAGUUAAGGAGAACCAGAAAUCAGAGAACAUGAAUAUGGCAAUUAGUGAUUGCUCUCACCCAUAUGAUAGUAUGUUUAUAUAUAAAUUUUUAAAAUAUAUCUGGCCAGGCGCUGUGGCUCACGCCCAUAAUCCCAGCACUUUGGGAGGCCAAGGCGGGUGGAUUGCUUGAGGCCAGGAGUUUGAGACCAGCCUGGCCAACAUGGCAAAACCCUGUCUCUACUAAAAACACAAAAAUUAGCCAUGCCAAGGUGGCACGUGCCGGUAAUCCCAACUACUCGGGAGGCUGAGGCACGAGAAUCGCUUGAAUCCAGGAGGCAGGGAUUGCAGUGAGCCAUGAUCAUGCCAUGUACUCUGGCCUGGGCAACAGAGUGAGACUCUGCCUCAAAACAAACUAAAUUUUAAAAACGCAUCAACAUAUCCAAUCUACUAAUAUUUAUUAAAUAUCUACUAUCAAAUAUAAUAAUGAUAUUAAAUAUAAGUAAGUAUAUAAAAUUUCUACUAUACAGUACUGAGAAAUAAAGCUGUAAAACGCAUAGCCCCUGCUGUCAGAGAACUUAAAAUCUAUUAGGUAUACUAAGAUUUGCAAACAGACUCCUUAAAUUCUGCUUUACAUAAAUUUUUAAAUUUCAAUACAUUAUUGAACAUAUAGAAGUAAGAAAACCUUCAUGCUCGAUUUAGACAAUUAUUUGAUUAUUAUAACUCAAACAGCAUGAAAAAAGCCGACUGCAUGCACCUCCCAAAAAAAUUACCUUCCCUUCCCAGGUAUCGCAGUGACUGAAAUUCUACUGAAUUUUAGGAAGUCAUCCCUUUAGGUUAAACAUUUCCCCAAUUUCCUUCCAAUACCAAUGGGUCAUUAUUUAGAUUUUCCUAGGCAUAUUUAACUGCUGGUAUUUUAAAUAUAAGAAUCACUUAAAUAAAUUACUAUAAUAGAUUACUUUUAUUUUUCUAGUAAUUUUAGACCAGGCUGCCCAACAUGAAGAAAUGUCUUUACUAAAAGUAUAAAAUUAUCUGGGCAUUGUGGCGCAUGCCUGUAAUCCCAGAUAGUCAGGAGGGUGAGGCAGGAGGAUCGCUUGAACCGGGGAGACAGAGGGUGCGGUAAGCCAAGAUCACGUCAUUGCACUCCAGCCUGGGCAACAAGAGCGAAACUCCAUCUCAAAAACAAACAAAAAAAAAGAAUUACCCCAAGAUGAUUUAACAUGUUGUCAUAUCAUUUAUCUGUUAGAUCACUUUCCACCAUGGGAAAUAGUACCCCUUCCCCAUGAAGCAUGAGGAAUUUGGUGUGAAGGAUCACUGAUUGGGGACCAUUAAACAAAGAAGGUUGAAAUCCCACAAGAUAAGCUUAAACCCCUCACAAUCUAUCAAGACUGGGCAUGUGUAAGGAGUUAAUGUUUCCAAGAAAAUCGAGAGUCAACAACAGAGAGAAGGUGGUCUUCUCAGUUACAGCCACACUCCUAAAAAUCAAUCACAGUCAAUAGUCACAUCGAAGUAAGAUGAUGGUGAUAAAGGGAAAGAGGAAAAAGAGAUAGAUACUUCCCAUAAAUUCUGCGUUAUUGAUGACUGACCACACAGAGGCUAAUGUUCACAAUAAGAAUGAGCAUUUAUAAAUUCAUGUGUUAAAGCCCCGUUACAUUCUAAUGCAAAAAUAACCCUUUGUUAACUUGAGAUUUUUAUGUCUUGAUCAUAGGGAAAGCCACAUGCAAUUAUUUACUUUCUAUUUUGUUUGCUGUAUUUAUGCAUAGUUGACCUAAUACAUGUCAUAAUACAUAAAUAUCUUGCUGUGAUUGCUUUUCCUUUCUGUCUUUCUUUGUGUGUGUUUGUGUUUAGUUCUGUGAAAUUUGGUCACAUGUAAAGAUUCAUGUACCUAUCAUGUAGCUAUCACAAUCAAGAUACAGAACUGACCCAUCACUACAAAUAAUUACCCGUUUACCCCUUUAUAGUCACGCCAUGUCCCUAACACCUGACAACCACUGAUCUUGUCUCCAUUUCUAUAAUUUUGUCAUUUUGAGAAUGUUCUAUAAAUGGAAUCAAGAAGUAUGUAAAAUGGAAUCAUACAGCAUGUAUCUUUUGAAGAUUCAUGUAUUUUUUGAAUACAUAUGGCUCAUAUACAUACAAUAACAUACAUAUGUUUAAUUGGUAUAUUCUUGCCUCAAAUUUUAUAAAAAUGUUUGAAGUUCAAUUUGAUCCAAUCUAUAAGACAUUAGAGACAGCCCCGGGGGUAAGUUUGCCAGAAUGCAAACUGAAGGGUGAAUCAUUUCAUGAUGACAGCAUAGCUCUGUGUGUUUAAAAGGACUCAAUAGCUCUUAGGGCUGAAUUCCAUCUUGAAGCUCAAAAGUAGUUAAUAUUAGAGUAUUUUGGAGCAAAUCUCUGCAGCUUCAAACUGUCUUUGGGAGGUGUCACUGUAGAGCAUGCACAACGGGAAGAAAGGCAGCUUUGCUCUCCAGCUGCCACGUCCACCUUGCCUUCACUCUGGUUCUCUAGCAACAGAGAAACCAAAGGAGGGAUUUUGCUAGACAAGAUGAAGUUAAAGAGUUAAUGACUCCUAUCCACACCAUAAAUUAACCUGUAUUUUUAAAAAUCUGAAGGAAGAGGUGUUCCAGAGGACUAAUGAACACGUAUGUCUAAAAAUAACUCGUUUAAUUAACAGCA